UUUCGAAUCAUUCACAAUGGGCGAAAGCCUGAUGGUGCGACGCCGCGUGAGGGAUGAAGGCCUUCGGGUUGUAAACCUCUGUCACCGGGGAAGAAACGCUAUACGUAAACAGCGUAUAGCCUGACUUAACCCGGAGAGGAAGCAGUGGCUAACUCUGUGCCAGCAGCCGCGGUAAUACAGAGACUGCAAGCGUUAUUCGGAUUCACUGGGCGUAAAGGGUGCGCAGGCGGUUUUGUGUGUCAGGUGUGAAAGCCCGGAGCUUAACUCCGGAAUUGCGCCUGAAACUACAGAACUAGAGCAUUGGAGAGGGUAGCGGAAUUCAUGGUGUAGCAGUGAAAUGCGUAGAUAUCAUGAGGAACACCAGAGGCGAAGGCGGCUACCUGGACAAUUGCUGACGCUC
rnacentral:rRNA from 1 species